rnacentral:rRNA from 1 species
AUUGAACGCUGGCGGCAGGCCUAACACAUGCAAGUCGAGCGGAUGAAGGGAGCUUGCUCCUGGAUUCAGCGGCGGACGGGUGAGUAAUGCCUAGGAAUCUGCCUGGUAGUGGGGGAUAACGUCCGGAAACGGGCGCUAAUACCGCAUACGUCCUGAGGGAGAAAGUGGGGGAUCUUCGGACCUCACGCUAUCAGAUGAGCCUAGGUCGGAUUAGCUAGUUGGUGGGGUAAAGGCCUACCAAGGCGACGAUCCGUAACUGGUCUGAGAGGAUGAGCAGUCACACUGGAACUUAGACGCGGUCGAGACUCCUACGGGAGGCAGCAGUACGGAUGUUUGCACAAUGGGCGCAAUCUUGACCCAGCUAUGCCGCGUGAGGGAUGAUAGCCUUCGAAUUGUAUACUGCUUUUUCAUGGAACGAAAAAUAGUCGGCUGAUCUCUUGGCGUCUUGACGGUACCUAAUGAAUAAGCCCCGGCUACCUACGUG